GGGCCCGCACAAGCGGUGGAGCAUGUGGUUUAAUUCGACGCAACGCGAAAAACCUUACCUGGGUUUGACAUGGCAGGAAUCCGGAUGAAAGUCUGGAGUGCCCCGUAAGGGGAAUCUGCACACAGGUGCUGCAUGGCUGUCGUCAGCUCGUGCCGUGAGGUGUUGGGUUAAGUCCCGCAACGAGCGCAACCCUCAUCCUUAGUUGCCAUCAUUAAGUUGGGCACCCUAAGGAAACUGCCGCAGUUAAUGCGGAGGAAGGUGGGGAUGACGUCAAGUCCUCAUGGCCCUUAUAUCCAGGGCUACACACGUGCUACAAUGGGUGGGAACAAAGGGUCGCCAAACCGCAAGGUGGAGCCAAUCCCAGAAAACCAUCCUUAGUUCGGAUUGGAGUCUGCAACCCGACUCCAUGAAGUUGGAAUCGCUAGUAAUCGCGGAUCAGAACGCCGCGGUGAAUACGUUCCCGGGCCUU
rnacentral:rRNA from 1 species